CUCUCUGGAGACGCCCGGUAGAUAGUAAUCCGGGGGCCGAAGGUGCAACAUACUAUAAUGUAUGAAUCUCUCAGGCAACAGGACAGAGAAGA
rnacentral:ncRNA from 1 species